rnacentral:rRNA from 1 species
UACGAAGGGGGCUAGCGUUGCUCGGAAUUACUGGGCGUAAAGGGCGCGUAGGCGGACAGUUUAGUCAGAGGUGAAAGCCCAGGGCUCAACCUUGGAAUUGCCUUUGAUACUGGCUGUCUUGAGUACGGGAGAGGUGAGUGGAACUCCGAGUGUAGAGGUGAAAUUCGUAGAUAUUCGGAAGAACACCAGUGGCGAAGGCGACUCACUGGCCCGUUACUGACGCUGAGGCGCGAAAGCGUGGGGAGCGAACAGG